CUGAGUACGGCGGAACACGUGAAAUUCCGUCGGAAUCCGGGAGGACCAUCUCCCAAGGCUAAAUACUCCCUAGUGACCGAUAGUGAACCAGUACCGUGAGGGAAAGGUGAAAAGCACCCCGGAAGGGGAGUGAAACAGUUCCUGAAACCGUGUGCCUACAAGUAGUUAGAGCCCGUUAAUGGGUGAUAGCGUGCCUUUUGUAGAAUGAACCGGCGAGUUACGAUUUGUUGCAAGGUUAAGCGGAAAAAGCGGAGCCGUAGCGAAAGCGAGUCUGAAUAGGGCGCAUAAGUAACAGGUCGUAGACCCGAAACCAGGUGAUCUACCCAUGUCCAGGAUGAAGGUAAGGUAAUACUUACUGGAGGUCCGAACCCACGCACGUUGAAAAGUGCGGGGAUGAGGUGUGGGUAGCGGAGAAAUUCCAAUCGAACUUGGAGAUAGCUGGUUCUCUCCGAAAUAGCUUUAGGGCUAGCCUCGAGGUAAAGAGUCAUGGAGGUAGAGCACUGUUUGGACUAGGGGCCCUUCUCGGGUUACCGAAUUCAGAUAAACUCCGAAUGCCAUGUACUUAUACUCGGGAGUCAGACUGCGAGUGAUAAGAUCCGUAGUCGAAAGGGAAACAGCCCAGACCACCAGUUAAGGUCCCCAAAUAUAUGUUAAGUGGAAAAGGAUGUGGGGUUGCUUAGACAACCAGGAUGUUGGCUUAGAAGCAGCCACCAUUGAAAGAGUGCGUAAUAGCUCACUGGUCGAGUGACCCCGCGCCGAAAAUGUACCGGGGCUAAACAUAUUACCGAAACUGUGGAUGAACCUCUUUAGAGGUUCGUGGUAGGAGAGCGUUCUAAGGGCGGUGAAGUCAGACCGGAAGGACUGGUGGAGCGCUUAGAAGUGAGAAUGCCGGUAUGAGUAGCGAAAGAAGGGUGAGAAUCCCUUCCACCGAAUAUCUAAGGUUUCCUGAGGAAGGCUCGUCCGCUCAGGGUUAGUCGGGACCUAAGCCGAGGCCGAUAGGCGUAGGCGAUGGACAACAGGUAGAGAUUCCUGUACCAGUGCUAAUUGUUUAACCGAUGGGGUGACACAGAAGGAUAGGGAAUCGCACGAAUGGAAAUGUGCGUCCAAGCAGUGAGUGUGAGAAGUAGGCAAAUCCGCUUCUCGCGAAGCAUGAGCUGUGAUGGGGAAGGAAAUUAAGUACGGAAGUUCCUGAUUUCACGCUGUCAAGAAAAGCCUCUAGGAAGAGUAGUACUGCCCGUACCGCAAACCGACACAGGUAGAUGAGGAGAGAAUCCUAAGGUGAGCGAGAGAACUCUCGUUAAGGAACUCGGCAAAAUGACCCCGUAACUUCGGGAGAAGGGGUGCUCUAUUAGGGUGCAAGCCCGAGAGAGCCGCAGUGAAUAGGCCCAGGCGACUGUUUAGCAAAAACACAGGUCUCUGCAAAACCGUAAGGUGACGUAUAGGGGCUGACGCCUGCCCGGUGCUGGAAGGUUAAGAGGAGUGCUUAGCUUCGGCGAAGGUACGAAUUGAAGCCCCAGUAAACGGCGGCCGUAACUAUAACGGUCCUAAGGUAGCGAAAUUCCUUGUCGGGUAAGUUCCGACCCGCACGAAAGGCGCAACGAUCUGGGCACUGUCUCAACGAGAGACUCGGUGAAAUUAUAGUACCUGUGAAGAUGCAGGUUACCCGCGACAGGACGGAAAGACCCCGUGGAGCUUUACUGCAACCUGAUAUGGAAUGUUUGUACCGCUUGUACAGGAUAGGUAGGAGCCGAAGAGACGUGUGCGCUAGCAUACGAGGAGGCAAUGGUGGGAUACUACCCUGGCUGUAUGACCAUUCUAACCCGCCACGCUUAGCGCGUGGGGAGACAGUGUCAGGUGGGCAGUUUGACUGGGGCGGUCGCCUCCUAAAGAGUAACGGAGGCGCCCAAAGGUUCCCUCAGAAUGGAUGGAAAUCAUUCGCAGAGUGUAAAGGCACAAGGGAGCUUGACUGCGAGACUGACAAGUCGAGCAGGGACGAAAGUCGGGCUUAGUGAUCCGGUGGUUCCGCAUGGAAGGGCCAUCGCUCAACGGAUAAAAGCUACCCCGGGGAUAACAGGCUUAUCUCCCCCAAGAGUC
rnacentral:rRNA from 1 species